rnacentral:rRNA from 1 species
UUAAGCGACUAAGCGUACACGGUGGAUGCCCUGGCAGUCAGAGGCGAUGAAGGACGUGCUAAUCUGCGAUAAGCGUCGGUGAGGUGAUAUGAACCGUUAUAACCGGCGAUUUCCGAAUGGGGAAACCCAGUGUGUUUCGACACACUAUCAUUAACUGAAUCCAUAGGUUAAUGAGGCGAACCGGGGGAACUGAAACAUCUAAGUACCCCGAGGAAAAGAAAUCAACCGAGAUUCCCCCAGUAGCGGCGAGCGAACGGGGAGGAGCCCAGAGCCUGAAUCAGUGUGUGUGUUAGUGGAAGCGUCUGGAAAGGCGCGCGAUACAGGGUGACAGCCCCGUACACAAAAAUGCACACAUUGUGAGCUCGAUGAGUAGGGCGGGACACGUGGUAUCCUGUCUGAAUAUGGGGGGACCAUCCUCCAAGGCUAAAUACUCCUGACUGACCGAUAGUGAACCAGUACCGUGAGGGAAAGGCGAAAAGAACCCCGGCGAGGGGAGUGAAAAAGAACCUGAAACCGUGUACGUACAAGCAGUGGGAGCCUCUUAAUGGGGUGACUGCGUACCUUUUGUAUAAUGGGUCAGCGACUUAUAUUCUGUAGCAAGGUUAACCGAAUAGGGGAGCCGAAGGGAAACCGAGUCUUAACUGGGCGUUAAGUUGCAGGGUAUAGACCCGAAACCCGGUGAUCUAGCCAUGGGCAGGUUGAAGGUUGGGUAACACUAACUGGAGGACCGAACCGACUAAUGUUGAAAAAUUAGCGGAUGACUUGUGGCUGGGGGUGAAAGGCCAAUCAAACCGGGAGAUAGCUGGUUCUCCCCGAAAGCUAUUUAGGUAGCGCCUCGUGAAUUCAUCUCCGGGGGUAGAGCACUGUUUCGGCAAGGGGGUCAUCCCGACUUACCAACCCGAUGCAAACUGCGAAUACCGGAGAAUGUUAUCACGGGAGACACACGGCGGGUGCUAACGUCCGUCGUGAAGAGGGAAACAACCCAGACCGCCAGCUAAGGUCCCAAAGUCAUGGUUAAGUGGGAAACGAUGUGGGAAGGCCCAGACAGCCAGGAUGUUGGCUUAGAAGCAGCCAUCAUUUAAAGAAAGCGUAAUAGCUCACUGGUCGAGUCGGCCUGCGCGGAAGAUGUAACGGGGCUAAACCAUGCACCGAAGCUGCGGCAGCGACACUAUGUGUUGUUGGGUAGGGGAGCGUUCUGUAAGCCUGUGAAGGUGGCCUGUGAGGGUUGCUGGAGGUAUCAGAAGUGCGAAUGCUGACAUAAGUAACGAUAAAGCGGGUGAAAAGCCCGCUCGCCGGAAGACCAAGGGUUCCUGUCCAACGUUAAUCGGGGCAGGGUGAGUCGACCCCUAAGGCGAGGCCGAAAGGCGUAGUCGAUGGGAAACAGGUUAAUAUUCCUGUACUUGGUGUUACUGCGAAGGGGGGACGGAGAAGGCUAUGUUGGCCGGGCGACGGUUGUCCCGGUUUAAGCGUGUAGGCUGGUUUUCCAGGCAAAUCCGGAAAACCAAGGCUGAGGCGUGAUGACGAGGCACUACGGUGCUGAAGUGACAAAUGCCCUGCUUCCAGGAAAAGCCUCUAAGCAUCAGGUAACAUCAAAUCGUACCCCAAACCGACACAGGUGGUCAGGUAGAGAAUACCAAGGCGCUUGAGAGAACUCGGGUGAAGGAACUAGGCAAAAUGGUGCCGUAACUUCGGGAGAAGGCACGCUGAUAUGUAGGUGAAGCGACUUGCUCGUGGAGCUGAAAUCAGUCGAAGAUACCAGCUGGCUGCAACUGUUUAUUAAAAACACAGCACUGUGCAAACACGAAAGUGGACGUAUACGGUGUGACGCCUGCCCGGUGCCGGAAGGUUAAUUGAUGGGGUUAGCGGUAACGCGAAGCUCUUGAUCGAAGCCCCGGUAAACGGCGGCCGUAACUAUAACGGUCCUAAGGUAGCGAAAUUCCUUGUCGGGU